ACACUCUCAUAGAGUUUGAGCUUCAUAUGUUACUAUUUCUUCGUCUGAGCAGCUAAUGCAAGAGAUGACGCGUGUGGCCAAGCCCGGAGGCUGGGUUGUGCUCACAGGAUGGUGUCACCGAGAGUUUACCCAUGGCGAAACUUCACUCAAGAAGCAUGAGCUGGUCAUAGAUUUAAUCAAGACUGAAAACGUGAGUUAAAUUAUAUUUUAAUAUAUGUGAUUUGUGUUUGCAGAAGAUCCUGGACAAAGUCCGUGCAGCAUAUCUUCUUCCACCUUGGUGCCAGACAUCUGAUUACAAAGUUAUAGCAAUCGACGCGGGUUUGCAAGUGUGUGCUGUAAUCUCAAUAUAAUAUUUAGAGUUUACUGUGAUUAAUGUUGCCAGGGGGUAAAAGUGGAAGACUGGACACGGCACAUGCUUCCGUUUUGGGGUCUGCUCACUGCAGAGAUCUUUACCUUGAGAGGCGCAUUCAAGAUUUUGACAUCAGGUAAUACAAAACUUUCACAAGAGUCUUACCUCUCUAAUGAGUAAACAGGAUGGGCACAUCUUCGUGCAAGUAUAUCCUUGGCAUAUCACUUCUCCUACAUGGACAAAGGAUUCAAGACUGGCGUUUUCAAGUAUGCUGUGGUUAUGGGAAAGAAAGAUAAGAAGUAGUUCCAGUAGCAGGAGACUUGCCUCCUUUAUUAUCUGUUUUGAUUCAUAAAGGUCGAACAAUUGACACAGCAAAUCAUCAAUAAUAAUUCAUUAUUUCUUACACUGGAUCGCCAGCGUCUUUGUUCUUGCAAUGGCCAGCGAGAUCGAAGAGAUUUAUGAUGAGGGAUGCGUGGUGUACGAGGCCGUGUGGGGCGAGCAUAUGCACUCGGGCUACUUUGAGGCGGGCAAGCCUGGGGACUUUCGAGUGGCACAAGUCCGAAUGAUCGAGGAGGUCCUCUCUUGGGCCGGAGUACCAAGUAAGCUUCCCUCUCUAUUCUAUUACAAUCUCCUAGAUGAUGAGCAAAGCCGGCCUCGAGACAUACUGGACGUGGGCUGCGGUUUUGGGGGAACUUCUCGAUAUCUGUCCAAGAAGUACUCGGCAAAUGUGAAAGGAAUAGCACUGAGCGAUUACGAGAUCGCCAGCUCCAUUGCUCCUGUUUUUCUUUCUAUUUUAAUAUAUGUGAUUUGUGUUUGCAGAAGAUCCUAGACAAAGUCCGUGCAGCAUAUCUUCUUCCACCUUGGUGCCAGACAUCUGAAUACAAAGUUGUAGCAAUCGACUCGGGUUUGCAGGUGUGUGUUAUAAUUUCAAUAUAUUAUCUAGAAUUUAUUGUGAUUAAUGUUGCCAGGGGGUAAAAGUGGAAGACUGGACACAGCACAUGCUUCCGUUUUGGGGUCUGCUCACUGCAGAAAUCUUUACCUUGAGAGGCGCAUUCAAGAUUUUGACAUCAGGUAAUACAAAACUUUUGCAAGAGUCUUACCUCUCUAAUGAGUAAACAGGAUGGGCACAUCUUCGUGCAAGUAUAUCCUUGGCAUAUCACUUCUCCUACAUGGACAAAGGAUUCAAGA
rnacentral:lncRNA from 1 species